GAGCUUUCCAGGCUAUGGACAAAUUCAACAGGGGACGAGUGCAAAUGAACAUCAUGCAGUUCCUGAUGUUGUCGAUGAACAUGUGAGGAGGAACUGAAACGGAUACCAGCGGAGGAACAAAACGCAGCAGAUCAUCUUUAAGAGCAAUGUUGUGAAUAUUAAACUUCGCCAUGAUUCAGAUUCUGUGCUGUUAUUAUUAUUUGAAAUGUAAUGUGAAAACACUGUCUGAGCUCAAAUGUUUUUGAAUGGGAGUGGUUUAUAAUUUUGGUCAUGGGUCCAUCUGUAGGUAUUCACUGCCUCUGACAUGGUACGAGUCUGUGAGCUCAAAUGUAGGACAGCUGGGUCUGUAAAGCAGCCGAGUGCAUGAGAGUGUUUGCCUGGCAAGUUUGCAUCAAUCUCACACUCGUCUAGUCGAAUUCUGCAAAUCAGUCUGACUUUUAGUCGUUUUGAGAAAACUAAAAAAUUAAAGGAGCAACUGACCCUCUUACACUCACUUUCAAGGCAAUCACAUGCAACAGACUGUCUUGACUAACAACUUCACUUCACUGCGGCAGCAACAUGAGUGCCUUUGUACAUGCGUCCUGUUUUUGUUUACAUAAAAAAACUCAAAUUAACUGUCAAUUCCCUUUUGCUGUGACACCGAAGAAAUCUUAAAAAUUUGAGGAUUUUUUUUAGGGCCCUUUUUCUGUUAGCUGAUUACAUCUUAUCUUAAUUAUGAUAAAAACUGAAAGAGGCUAACUGCAGCUGUUAAUGAAUGAAUGAACCUGUCUGUGCCUGAACUUGAAAAUUAGCUGUUACAGGAAGGCCGUCUUCUCACUCGGUUCCACCCCUGAAAAAAUGUAAUGAAUCGGAUCGGUUCACAUCAGCAGAAUGUAAUUUGCACAUGAAUGACUUCAAGGAUAGCAAAAGCAGAAACUUUCAUUUGCAGCAUGCUUUGUCAUAGUGCUUCAACUAAAUUUUGUUGACUUAAGCUUUUGGACAAAGUAUUGGUUUAUUUUCUGUUGGUUUGUUGCUCCCUGCUUGAGUGGGAAUCAUUUUAAAAUAAAACUUUUGUGUUUUCUC